GGGCCCGUGGUUUAGUGGUUAUAACGUCGCCUUUACAAGGCGAAUGUCACCGGUUCAAAUCCGGUCGGGCCCA
rnacentral:tRNA from 1 species